AGAGUUUGAUCAUGGCUCAGGAUGAACGCUAGCGGGAGGCCUAACACAUGCAAGCCGAGCGGUAUUGUUUCUUCGGAAAUGAGAGAGCGGCGUACGGGUGCGGAACACGUGUGCAACCUGCCUUUAUCUGGGGGAUAGCCUUUCGAAAGGAAGAUUAAUACUCCAUAAUAUAUUGAACGGCAUCGUUUAAUAUUGAAAGCUCCGGCGGAUAGAGAUGGGCACGCGCAAGAUUAGCUAGUUGGUGAGGUAACGGCUCACCAAGGCAAUGAUCUUUAGGGGCCUGAGAGGGUGAUCCCCCACACUGGUACUGAGACACGGACCAGACUCCUACGGGAGGCAGCAGUGAGGAAUAUUGGUCAAUGGGUGCAAGCCUGAACCAGCCAUCCCGCGUGAAGGACGACUGCCCUAUGGGUUGUAAACUUCCUUUGUAUAGGGAUAAACCUUUCCACGUGUGGAAAGCUGAAGGUACUAUACGAAUAAGCACCGGCUAACUCCGUG
rnacentral:rRNA from 1 species